rnacentral:tRNA from 1 species
GGUAGAUGUGGCUUAAUGGGAGAGCAUCUGCUUAGCAUGCAGAAGGUCCCAGGUUCAGUUCCUUGCAUCUCCU